rnacentral:lncRNA from 1 species
AUGUGUUUUCCUCAUCUUAAGCUUGUUCAGGGAUUUACAGCAUCCCCAUCUCAGAAGAACAAAACUGCUUUGAGGGGAAGGAAAUCUGCAAAAGAUGGCCUGAAGCAGGAGCCUGUGGCAUCUUUGCAGCUGAAAGAUCUGGCUGAAGAAUGUGGAGACCAGUGCAACAAUGUGUACUGUGAAUAGCUCAGAUACUACCUGGCUACUACGACUUCCAAGACCUGUGAGAGAAUGCGAUCAGCAAAGGCCUUGGCAGGUGAGUGACUGUACAUUCCUUCAGCUGUAGAUUCUACUACAAAGAACCAGUUUAGGACACACAAAACCAGUAUCUGUAA